GAUGAAGAACGCAGCGAAAUGCGAUAAGUAAUGUGAAUUGCAGAAUUCAGUGAAUCAUCGAAUCUUUGAACGCACAUUGCGCCCGCCAGUAUUCUGGCGGGCAUGCCUGUUCGAGCGUCAUUACAACCCUCAGGCCCCCGGGCCUGGCGUUGGGGAUCGGCGGAGCCCCCCGUGGGCACACGCCGUCCCCCAAAUGCAGUGGCGGUCCCGCCGCAGCUUCCAUCGCGUAGUAGCUAACACCUCGCGACUGGAGAGCGGCGCGGCCACGCCGUAAAACACCCAACUCUUCUGAAGUUGACCUCGAAUCAGGUAGGAAUACCCGCUGAACUUAAGCAUAUCAAUAAGCGGAGGA
rnacentral:misc_RNA from 1 species